ensembl:lncRNA
AUUCCUGCUUCACCAGGUUGGUAAAAUACUUUUUAUUAUUAUUUUAAACAAACAUCAGUUACUUUUGGGUUUAUUGUGUUUAUUUCCUGUUUUAGGUCGAUUCAGUCUGAGAGUCACAGUCCGGGCUCCUCCACAAAUCAUGGAGUCAACCAGGAUGAAACUCAUGAAUACAACUCUCUUCAUCCUGGAGCAGAUGACCCCAGAGAUGUCACAUACUCUCUUAUUGAACUUAAAACCCUUGGAAAGAAGAGGAAGCAUCAUAAACCAGAGCAGAGUGCUGUUUACUCUGAGGUGAAGACGGGAGCUGCAGAGGACAGUCUGAUGGUCAAACGCCCCAAAAAAGAAAAAGCCAAGAAAAAAGCAGGAAGAUCAAGUCCUGCAGCUGAUGCAGCAGUUUAUUCUGAAGUCACAUUAGGAAGCUUUCCUGGUCAGUGAGGAGAGCUGCAGCAGCAAAGCCAAAAAGAAGCAUUUUAUGAAUCCACUGUUGCUCCUCUGCUGCCCAAAUAUCAGACAUGCUCAGUCUUUAGUUUUAAAGAUAUUGAAUAAUAAUAUGAUAAAGAUUUGGCACUGUAUUUUAGUAUAAAGCACACAGAGGCGUGUCCUGUUUCAGAUCCAUGUUCUUUUUGUUCAGCUGGUAUUUUGUAUUCAUUGUUGAGCUUUUGUAUCAAACUUUGGCUGUGUCCUAUACCAACAGCAGUGAGAAAAAAGUUUGUGAUUUUUAGUAGCUGAUAGCAGUAACUUAAAUUCAGCAGAGUUACAUUAGUGCUGGUAUUUACACCAACAAAUACUUACUGAGUUUAAAGAUCUGCAUCACGUAAAAAUGAAAUAUUUGGUAUAAAACAUGAAAAAGCUCUGGCUGCUUCACGAUUCAUUUAAUGUCAUACUUUUAGUGAAGCUGUGCAUUUUAUCUUUUAUUUUAUUUUAUUUAAAUAAAUCUAACCUUGACUUCAUUUUCUCUUGUAUUUUAAUCAGAGUAAAAUAUUUAGAUUGUUUGGGCUUCAUUAGAUUUUCUGGUUUGUAAGUGGGCACCAGUAAGUGGCUUUAUGGUUGACUGCUUUAAAGUUUUUAUUGAAGCUAUAUUUUAAUGUUACCUAUUAUUUUUUCAGUAAGAUGUGGUGCUCUCCAUUUAGAAGUACUCUGAGUUCAUGUAUGUACACAUUCAUACUAUUUCUAAUUAUUGAAGAUUGAAGUCUGAUCAUCAAAACAAGUUGGUUGGGUCCCC